rnacentral:rRNA from 1 species
ACCGGCGGUGCAAGUGUUAAUCGGAAUUAUUGGGCGUAAAGCGCAUGUAGGCUGCAGUGUAAGUCAGGGGGGAAAUCCCGCAGCUCAACCGUGGAACUGUCGUUGAUACUGCACAGCUUGAAUCCGGGAGAGGGUGGCGGAAUUCCAGGGGUAGGAGUGAAAUCUGGAGAUCUCUGGAGGACCAUCAGUGGCGAAGGCGGCCACCUGGACCGGUCUUGACGCUGAGGUGCGAAAGCUAGGGGAGCAAACAG